rnacentral:rRNA from 1 species
CUUUGGUUCUAUUUUGUUGGUUUCUAGGACCGAAGUAAUGAUUGAUAGGGAUAGUUGGGGGCAUUAGUAUUUCGUUGUCAGAGGUGAAAUUCUUGGAUUUACGAAAGACUGACUUCUGCGAAAGCAUUUGCCAAGGAUGUUUUCAUUAAUCAAGAACGAAAGUUAGGGGAUCGAAGACGAUUAGAUACCGUCGUAGUCUUAACCAUAAACUAUGCCGACUCGGGAUCGGUGGAAUGUCUUUUGCAUCCAUCGGCACCGUAUGAGAAAUCAAAGUUUUUGGGUUCUGGGGGGAGUACGUUUGCAAGGAUGAAACUUAAAGGAAUUGACGGAAGGGCACCACCAGGAGUGGAGCCUGCGGCUUAAUUUGACUCAACACGGGGAAACUCACCA